ACACAUGAUCAACUUACCCUAUAGAGAAAAAUACCCUCGGGAAACUGAGGAUAAUGUUUCAUAGUUGAAAAGGCUUGGAAAAGUUUUUCAACGAAAUGGGUAAGAAAAAUGGUUCUUAUCUGCUAUAGGAUAGGAUCGUGGUCGAUUAUGGUUGUUGGUGAGGCAAUGGCUCACCAAGCCGAUAAUCGAUAGGGGCCGUGAGAGCGGGAGCCCCGAGAUGGGUACUGAGACAACGACCCAGGCCUUACGAGGCGCAGCAGGCGCGAAACCUCCGCAAUACACGAAAGUGUGACGGGGUUACCCAAAGUGUUCAAUAUUGAACUGUGGCAGGUGAGUAAUGUCCCCUGCUAGAAAGGAGAGGGCAAGGCUGGUGCCAGCCGCCGCGGUAAAACCAGCUCUUCAAGUGGUCGGGAUAGUUAUUGGGCUUAAAGUGUCCGUAGCCGGUUUAGUAAGUUCCUGGUAAAAUCGGGUAGCUUAACUAUCCGUAUGCUAGGAAUACUGCUAUACUAGAGGGCGGGAGAGGUCUGAGGUACUACAGGGGUAGGGGUGAAAUCUUAUAAUCCUUGUAGGACCACCAGUGGCGAAGGCGUCAGACUGGAACGCGCCUGACGGUGAGGGACGAAAGCCAGGGGAGCGAACCGGAUUAGAUACCCGGGUAGUCCUGGCCGUAAACGAUGCAUACUAGGUGAUGGUACGGCCAUGAGCCGUGUCAGUGCCGUAGGGAAACCGUUAAGUGUGCCGCCUGGGAAGUACGGUCGCAAGGCUAAAACUUAAAGGAAUUGGCGGGG
rnacentral:rRNA from 1 species